rnacentral:lncRNA from 1 species
UCAUUUGAUCCCCUAAUUAAUUUGCAAUUUUUAUUUUGGUCCUAUAACUUAUAAAACCCACGUUUCGGUCCCUCAAUUAUACGUUCGUCAGUCAAAUUGGUCCUGUUCCGUUAAUUUUAACUCCAAAUAUCUAAGAUGGACCAACAUUGUAUGUGGUCUACCAUAGACCAUAUUAAUUUUUUAAUUUUAUCCAUUUGAUCUAUUUUUGAAAACAGGAACCAUUUGAUCAUAUAUGUCUAUUGUAUCUACGAUGAACCAUCAACAACUAAUUAUUUUCCCCUUUCUUC